UAACUUUAUUAUAAUUAUUAUUUUUGUUUUAGGAACAAAAGAUUCAGGUUAU
rnacentral:tRNA from 1 species